GAUGAACGCUGGCGGCGUGCCUAAUACAUGCAAGUCGAGCGAACAGGUGAGAAGCUUGCUUCUCUGAUGUUAGCGGCGGACGGGUGAGUAACACGUGGGUAACCUACCUAUAAGACAGGGAUAACUCCGGGAAACCGGGGCUAAUACCGGAUAAUAUUUUGAACCGCAUGGUUCAAUAGUGAAAGACGGUUUCGGCUGUCACUUAUAGAUGGACCCGCGCCGUAUUAGCUAGUUGGUAAGGUAACGGCUUACCAAGGCGACGAUACGUAGCCGACCUGGGAGGGUGAUCGGCGCAACGGGAACCGAUACACGGUCCAGACCCCUACGGGAGGAAGCAGUGGGGAAUUUUCCGAAAUGGGCGAAAGCCUGAUGGAGCAACGCAACGUGAGUGAUGAAGUUUUUCGGAUCGUAAAACCCUGUUGUUAGGGAGGAAAAAAUUUGUUAGUAAUUGAAAAAGUUUUGAGGUACCUAACCAGAAAGCCACGGCUAACUACGUGCCAGCCGCCGCUGUAA
rnacentral:rRNA from 1 species